UACGAAGGGAGCUAGCGUUGUUCGGAAUUACUGGGCGUAAAGGGCGCGUAGGCGGCUUCGAUAGUUGGGCGUGAAAUGCCUGGGCUCAACCCAGGAAUGGCGCUCAAUACUACGAGGCUUGGAGUGUGGGAGAGGAUGGUGGAAUUCCCAGUGUAGAGGUGAAAAUUCGUAGAUAUUGGGAAGAACACCAGCGGCGAAGGCGGCCAUCUGGACCACAACUGACGCUGAGGCGCGAAAGCGUGGGGAGCAAACAGG
rnacentral:rRNA from 1 species